rnacentral:rRNA from 2 species
CAUCUUUUUAAGGAGUUUAUUUAAGAUAUAAUCUGCUCAAUGAAUUAAAUUUAAAUUGCUGCAGUAUUUUGACUGUACAAAGGUAGCAUAAUAAUUAGUUUCUUAAUUAGGAACUGGAAUGAAUGAUUGGACAAAAAAUUGUCUUUCUUAUAUAGUGGUAUUGAAUUUUAUUUAAAAGUUAAAAAGCUUUUAUGAUUUUAUAAGACGAGAAGACCCUAUAGAUUUUUAUUCAUAGAUUUUUUAUUUUGUUUAUAUUAUUUAUUUUUAAAAAAAUCAUGAAUUUAAUUGGGGUUAUUAUUAAAUAUAAAAAAUUUUAAUUUUUAGGUCAUAAGUUGAUGAAUAUUUUAUCUUGAAUUAAAUAAAAAAUAAAUUACCUUAGGGAUAACAGCAUAAUUUCUUUAUAGAGUUCUUAUUAAAAAAGAAGUUUAUGACCUCGAUGUUGGAUUAAAAUUAAUUAUUGGCGCAGCAGUUAAUAAAUUAAGUCUGUUCGACUUUUGAAAUUUUACAUGAUCUGAGU